GACGAACGCUGGCGGCGUGCUUAACACAUGCAAGUCGAACGGGCCCGCUCUCUUUUUUGGGGGUGGGUUGAGUGGCGAACGGGUGAGUAUCACGUGAGUAACCUGCCCCCUGCUCCUGGAUAACUGCUUGAAAGGGCGGCUAAUACGGGGUGUGCCGGCUGGUCCGCAUGGGCCUGGUCGGGAUAGUUUCAUCUUCGGGUGUUUCGGGGGGGGAUGGGCUCGCGGCCUAUCAGCUUGUUGGUGGGGUGAUGGCCCACCAAGGCGGUGACGGGUAGCCGGCCUGGGAGGGUGGGCGGCCACACUGGGACUGAGACACGGCCCAGACUCCUGCGGGAGGCAGCAGUGGGGGGUAUUGCACAAUGGACGGAAGCCUGAUGCAGCGACGUCGCGUGAGGGAUGGAGGCCUUCGGGUUGUGAACCUCUUUCUCCGGUGGUGAAGGCCCUGUCCGUUGCGGCGGGGUUGACGGUAGCCGGGUAUGAAGCGCCGGCUAACUACGUG
rnacentral:rRNA from 1 species